AUGAGUCUGGACGGUCCAAGGCUCGCCGAGAAAGACCGCUGGCUUAGACACUGGGGCAGUGGCAGCCCGCGGGACAGUGUCGGCAGAUUCGGCAGCAGUGUCUGCUUCGGCAGCGUUGGCUAGGAAUCGGCAGAGCCAGCGAAAUCGGCAAAGGCGGCAGAAUCGGCAGCGGGUGCUGACUCUGAGUGGGGACGAUUUACAGUCCAGGGCUUGACGGAAAAGACUGUUGGUCCAGACAAGGGGGCAGCGGCAGCCAUGCCAACAUGGGGAAAAAUCGGCAGCGCAGAUUUCUCGACGAACAUGGGCUGGACGAUGGACUGUCCAGGCCAGACAGGGAAAUUCGUGCAGGGGACACGCUGACGAAACAGCGCUGGUUUAGACACGGCGGGGGCAGUGGUGGAAUCGGCAGCGCCGACGAAAUCGGCAGAAUCGGCAGCAGGUGCUGGCGAUGAGUCUGGACAGUCCAAGGCUCGCCGAGAAAGACCGCUGGCUUAGACACUGGGGCAGUGGCAGCCCGCGGGACAGUGUCGGCAGAUUCGGCAGCAGUGUCUGCUUCGGCAGCGUUGGCUAGGAAUCGGCAGAGCCAGCGAAAUCGGCAAAGUCGGCAGAAUCGGCAGCGGGUGCUGACUCUGAGUGUGGACGAUUUACAGUCCAGGGCUUGACGGAAAAGACUGUUGGUCCAGACAAGGGGGCAGCGGCAGCCAUGCCAACAUGGGGAAAAAUCGGCAGCGCAGAUUUCUCGACGAACAUGGGCUGGACGAUGGACUGUCCAGGCCAGACAGGAAAAUUCGUGCAGGGGACACGCUGACGAAACAGCGCUGGUUUAGACACGGCGGGGGCAGUGGUGGAAUCGGCAGCGCCGACGAAAUCGGCAGAAUCGGCAGCAGGUGCUGGCGAUGAGUCUGGACAGUCCACGGCUCGACGAGAAAGACCGCUGGCUUAGACACUGGGGCAGUGGCAGCCCGCGGGACAGUGUCGGCAGAUUCGGCAGCAGUGUCUGCUUCGGCAGCGUUGGCUAGGAAUCGGCAGAGCCGGCGAAUUCGGCAGAGUCGGCAGCAGGUGCUGACUCUGAGUCUGGACGAUUUACAGUCCAGGGCUUGACGGAAAGACUGUUGGUCCAGACAAGGGGGCAGCGGCAGCCAUGCCAACAGGGGGGAAAAUCGGCAGCGCAGAUUUUUCGACGAACAUGGGCUGGACGAUGGACUGUCCAGGCCAGGCAGGAAAAUUCGUCCAGGGGACACGCUGACGAAACCGCGGGGGAUAUGAGGGCUGCUGCUACACUCGGACUAAAGUGGGGGGCCUCAUGGCCCGAAGUAUUGCCGGCAUCGAUGACCCGUUUUCCGGCCGGCGACGACCCGAUUCCGUCAAGCGCUGGUUUAGACACGGUGGGGGCAGUGUUGGAAUCGGCAGCGCCGACGAAAUCGGCAGAAUCGGCAGCAGGUGCUGGCGAUGAGUCUGGACAGUCCACGGCUCGACGAGAAAGACUGUUGGAAUCGGCAGAUUCGGCAGCAGUGUCUGCUUCAGCAUCGUUGGCUUGUUGGCGCGGUGGGCUGAUGCGAGUGGGGACUUGGGCAGCGGGCAGUGAAAGCAAGAGUUUUCCCGAGGCUGCCGGGAAAAACGCUCCUCGGGAUGGCCGGGUGAGAUGACCCGGCGGCCCGCGACGAGUCAUUCAAUUCCAUGCCCUAUCAUCAUAACUCCCGAUGUAUUGUUUGCUUUUUCGGAAGAAGAGAUCCAUCUCCCCAUCCUCGCCCAGGCAAAAACGCUCCAAUUAAUGGCCGGGUGAGAUGACCCGUUUUCGGGCCCGCGACGCGUCAUUCAAAUCUCUGCCCUGUCGGAUGCAACUGCGGAUGGUGGGGAUUAGAGGCCUGCCAUGGUGGUGAGGGGCGGCGAAGACCGUGAAAGCAAGAGUUUUCCCGAGGCUGCCGGGUGCGAUGACCCGGCGCGUCAUUGAAUUCUCUUCACUAUCAACUUGGCUCCCGUUGGCGGGAUUGGAGGCCUACUGUUACAGGGUUAAAAUCGUCAGGGGAAGAGCUGACGAAACAAUGCUGGUUUGGACACGGGGGGCAGUGUUGGAAUCGGCAGCGCCGACAAAAUCGGCAAAGUCGACAGAAUCGGCUGACGGUGAGUCUGGACAGACUGGAUAGUCCAAGGCUUGACAAAAAAGACUGUUGGUCCGGACAUUAUUGGGGCAGCGGCAGCCAUGCCAACAGGGGGGGGAUCGGCAGCGCAUAUUUGCGCAGCUGCAGGUUCGUCGGGGAGAAGCGGCAGCGCAGAUUUUUCGACGAACAUGGGCUGGACGAUGGACUGUCCAGGCCAGGCAGGAAAAUUCGUCCAGGGGACACGCUGACGAAACAGCGCUGGUUUAGACACGGUGGGGGCAGUGGUGGAAUCGGCAGCGCCGGCGAAAUCGGCAGAAUCGGCAGCAGGUGCUGGCGAUGAGUCUGGACGGGCUGGACAGUCCACGGCUCGACGAGAAAGACCGCAGGCUUAGACACUGGGGCAGUGGCAGCCCGCGGGACAGUGUCGGCAGAUUCGG